ACCAGUGUGGUGUAGUGGUUUGUGCACUGUAGACUAUGACUCUGGAGACCAGGGUUCAACUCCUGGCUCAGCCA